rnacentral:rRNA from 1 species
UACGGGGGGGGCAAGCGUUGUUCGGAAUUACUGGGCGUAAAGGGCUCGUAGGCGGCCAACUAAGUCAGACGUGAAAUCCCUCGGCUUAACCGGGGAACUGCGUCUGAUACUGGAUGGCUUGAGUUUGGGAGAGGGAUGCGGAAUUCCAGGUGUAGCGGUGAAAUGCGUAGAUAUCUGGAGGAACACCGGUGGCGAAGGCGGCAUCCGGGACCAACACUGACGCUGAGUGAGCGAAAGCCAGGGGAGCAAACGGG